CCUACGGGAGGCAGCAGUGAGGAAUAUUGGUCAAUGGGCGCGAGCCUGAACCAGCCAAGUCGCGUGAGGGAUGAAGGUUCUAUGGAUCGUAAACCUCUUUUAUAAGGGAAUAAAGUGUGGGACGUGUCCUAUUUUGUAUGUACCUUAUGAAUAAGGAUCGGCUAACUCCGUGCCAGCAGCCGCGGUAAUACGGAGGAUCCGAGCGUUAGCCGGAUUUAUUGGGUUUAAAGGGCGCGUAGGCGGCCUUUUAAGUCAGCGGUGAAAGUCUGUGGCUCAACCAUAGAAUUGCCUUUGAUACUGGGGGGCUUGAGUAUGUUUGAGGCAGGCGGAAUGCGUGGUGUAGCGGGGAAAUGCUUAGAUAUCACGCAGAACCCCGAGUGCGAAGGCAGCCUGCCAAGCCAUGACUGACGCUGAUGCACGAAAGCGUGGGGAUCAAACAGGAUUAGAUACCCCAGUAGUC
rnacentral:rRNA from 1 species